GAUGAACGCUGGCGGCGCGCCUAACACAUGCAAGUCGAACGGUUAAAGCACCUUUUAGGUGUGUUUAAAGUGGCGAACGGCUGAGUAACACGUGGGCAACCUGCCCUCCUCUUGGGGAUAGCCUCGGGAAACCGAGGAUAAUACCCGCUACUUCAAUGUGGCCGCAUGACGACAUUGAGAAAGCUUUUGGGGGGAAGGAUGGGCCCGCGGCCUGUUAGCUUGUUGGUGGGGUAGAGGCCUACCAAGGCAAUGAUGGGUAGCUGGGUUGAGAGACCGACCAGCCAGAUUGGGACUGAGACACGGCCCAGACACCGACGGGAGGCAGAAGGGGGGAAGCUUGCACAAGGGGCGAAGGCCGGAUGCAGCGACGCCGCGGGCGGGACGAAGGCCUUCGGGUUGUAAACCGCUUGCAGCAGGGACGAGGCGAUAAGUGACGGUACCUGCAGAAGAAGCCCCGGCUAACUACGUG
rnacentral:rRNA from 1 species